UACGUAGGGUGCGAGCGUUAAUCGGAAUUACUGGGCGUAAAGCGUGCGCAGGCGGUUUUGUAAGCCAGAUGUGAAAUCCCCGGGCUUAACCUGGGAAUGGCAUUUGGGACUGCAAGGCUGGAGUGCGGCAGAGGAGACUGGAAUUCCUGGUGUAGCAGUGAAAUGCGUAGAUAUCAGGAGGAAUACCGAUGGCGAAGGCAGGUCUCUGGGCUAACACUGACGCUCAUGCACGAAAGCGUGGGGAGCAAACAGG
rnacentral:rRNA from 1 species